rnacentral:rRNA from 1 species
CCUACGGGAGGCUGCAGUGGGGAAUAUUGGACAAUGGGCGAAAGCCUGAUCCAGCCAUGCCGCGUGUGUGAAGAAGGCCUUCGGGUUGUAAAGCACUUUCAGUGGGGAAGAAAGCCUUGGGGCUAAUACCCUCGAGGAAGGACAUCACCCACAGAAGAAGCACCGGCUAACUCCGUGCCAGCAGCCGCGGUAAUACGGAGGGUGCGAGCGUUAAUCGGAAUUACUGGGCGUAAAGCGCGCGUAGGCGGUCUGAUAAGCCGGUUGUGAAAGCCCCGGGCUCAACCUGGGAACGGCAUCCGGAACUGUCAGGCUAGAGGGCAGGAGAGGAAGGUAGAAUUCCCGGUGUAGCGGUGAAAUGCGUAGAGAUCGGGAGGAAUACCAGUGGCGAAGGCGGCCUUCUGGACUGACACUGACGCUGAGGUGCGAAAGCGUGGGUAGCAAACAGGAUUAGAUACCCUAGUAUC